AGAGUUUGAUCAUGGCUCAGAACGAACGCUGGCGGCGUGCCUAACACAUGCAAGUCGAACGAGAAACUUCCCGCUUGCGGGAGGGAGUAAAGUGGCGCACGGGUGAGUAACGCGUGGGUAACCUGCCCUUGAAUCCGGGAUAACUCUGCGAAAGCGGUGCUAAUACCGGAUACGGUUUCGAAGACUUAGGUUUUCGGGAUCAAAGGUGACCUCUUCAUGAAAGUUGCCGUUUAAGGAUGGGCCCGCGUACCAUUAGCUAGUUGGUAGGGUAAUGGCCUACCAAGGCUACGAUGGUUAGCUGGUCUGAGAGGAUGAUCAGCCACACUGGAACUGAAACACGGUCCAGACUCCUACGGGAGGCAGCAGUGAGGAGUUUUGCGCAAUGGGGGAAACCCUGACGCAGCAACGCCGCGUGAGCGAAGAAGGCCUUCGGGUCGUAAAGCUCUGUCAAGUGGGAAAAACGUCUACCGGUAAAUAGCCGGGAGAUCUGAUGGUACCGCUGAAGGAAGCACCGGCUAACUCCGUGCCAGCAGCCGCGGUAAUACGGAGGGUGCAAGCGUUGUUCGGAAUUAUUGGGCGUAAAGAGCGUGUAGGCGGUUUAGUAAGUCAGAUGUGAAAGCCCUGGGCUCAACCCGGGAAGUGCAUUUGAAACUGCUUUACUUGAGUAUGGGAGAGGAGAGUGGAAUUCCUGGUGUAGAGGUGAAAUUCGUAGAUAUCAGGAGGAACAUCUGUGGCGAAGGCGACUCUCUGGACCAAUACUGACGCUGAGACGCGAAAGCGUGGGUAGCAAACAGGAUUAGAUACCCUAGUAGUCC
rnacentral:rRNA from 1 species